UUCAAUAGGUUGAAUUAGUAUAUAUAGAGAUCGCCAUGCUUAGAUGGACUUGUGUCUUGUGCUAGUAUGAUAGCCGGUCAUGAUGAAUCUAACACUUCCUAACACGAUUUAACUGUCUGCAUUGCAUUAUUCUCUAUGGCCUUUAUUGGUUAUAUGUUUUGUGAAACAGUUAAGGAAGGAAGGAAGGAAAAAUGAGUUUGAAAGGCACAAGCUGCAAGCAUUAAAUUAGCGCCAAAAACUGAGAUAUGGAUCGAAGGUUUCAUUAGAUGCUGAGGAUGAGUCGACAACAUUAAACUUGCAAGCUGUUGCAUUUAUAGAUUGCUUAGUUAGGUAAGGUUUUGUAUUCUAUUUCAUUUCAUGUUUAGAUAGAUUGAUUGUGGAAAGCACGAUGCCAAUGCUUUAUAGUGAAUUUGGGCUUGUUUAGAAAGAUUAUUUUCAGUGAUGUCUUUUUUUCAUUAAAAGUACUUUUAUUCUAUCAAUUAUAUUUGAAUACCAUAGUAUAAAAAUACUGUUUUAUAAAUUGUUGGCUCAAUAAAUGGGUUUGCAUUAAUGUUUGUGUCCCUAUCUAUUUCUCCUAAGCAAAUAAAACUGAAACAGUACGAUAGAUUGAUAAGUUUUUUUCAUUAUGGUCAGGGGACUAUAGGUGUGAGAUCAGCUUUUCUAUGAUUGAAAUUCAAAGUUCGUCGUCUUAAUAUCUAAGAUAAACUUUAAGGUUAAUAUGUAUAACUCAAGUUGGUGAACUAAAUAAGCACCAAUACUCUAGCAUUAAAUUUUAUUGUUUGCUUAGAAGAUGGUAUUAAAUUUGAUUGAGAUGUUGCACUAUAAGAACCAGAAGUGCUGAUCUCUCUCACCCUUUUAUUUUCAGAAAACAUUAUUAGGUUAAUAGGUUUAUUAUCUGGUGUGUCCUCUUUUCUAUUAUUUUUUUAUGCACAACAAUGCCAAGUAACGUUGAUAAAACUCGAUUCAUUCCCCCCUUCAAUUGACAUGAAUUUUGAUGAUAUGGUUUUAUAUAGCAACAAAUACUAAUUCAGUUGUACAUAUUAUGAAUGCAUCUCUUAAGUCGUCUAUUGUGCUGUGUGUGAUAAUUGAGAUCUUUGUGGCUUUGUUUCAUCCUAGUGUUAUACACAAUAAUGGACUAUGUCGUAGGUUCUAAUUGAUGUUUAUUUUUAAUGAAUUAGCAAGUAUUGCUUUGAGAUAAUUCUCAUGCAUAUUUUGUUCUGUUCAAAUUUUAUUUAUUUUAGAUGAAAGCAGUAUUUUUAUGGUUAAUAGCUCCUUUAAACUUUCACUCAACAAAUUAUUCUACUUAGACCAUUUUAAAAUGCUUAUUAAAGGUGAAUGAAGGUAUCAUGAAUGCUCUUUAAAACUUUGCCAAAAUAGCAAGUUAUCCUAAUUUUAUUAGUUUUAUAUUACAUCAUGAAAAGUUGUAUUUCAAUCCUCACUACUAAAUGGAUUUUUUUUUAAAUCUGUAAACUGUAAUGAUUCUUUUUUAUGUUUUUAGUUUAUUGUGAAUUAAUUAUUGAAGGCUUUCUCCCAAUGUGAUUAAUCACAGUUUUAAACAUUUCUUUCUCCUAUUCAUAUGACCGUCUUGUUUUAUUCUCUUGUGUUGGAAAAAAUCAAAAUUGAGUGAUAUCUCACAAAUUGGUGGGUUUGUGGAUUGGUACCUUCGUAAGCUUGAAGAACACCCCAUUGUCACUAAGAGCCUUACCUCUUCUUUUAUUUUCACUGCUUCUGACUUCACUUCUCAGAAAUAUAGCACUAUGAUCUCAAGAACCUGCACUACAGACACGCCUAAGAGAAAAUCAAAGCCUCAACCUCCCUUGAAGCGCAUAGCCUCCUUCCUCAGAUCACCAUUCCGAAGAAAACAUAGCAUGUCCAAGAAUGAAAAGGCUCAGUCCUUGUUAAAGUGCUUCAACUAUGAGCAGAUAGCCAAUGCUACUAAUGAAUUCCACCAAGAUAAUUUGGUCGGGAGAGGUAGAUACUCAGGAGUAUACAAAGGUGAUCUUUGUAUGUCAAUGUUUAUGAAAUUAUAUGUCAUAAAUAGUAAUUAUUCUAUAAGGGAGGAUGAAUUCGAUGAUCUUGAUGACUCAGAUGAAUAUUUAAAAGAGUAUGAAUAGGGUUAUUUAUUUUGCUUUGAAUAUUUUGUAUUAUUAGUGAAUUACAAUUUAAACGAAUAUAAGUCUGAAUUUAGUUAUUUAUGUUGUCUUGAGUUUUUUAUGUUAGAGGAUUAUUUAUUAUUUUGAUAAGUUUGUAAACUCAU